rnacentral:tRNA from 1 species
GCCUAGUUAGCUUAGUUGGUAGCACGCCUGCCUUGUAAGCGCUAGGCCGCGGGUUCGAUUCCCGCCCGGGGCG